rnacentral:rRNA from 1 species
CCUACGGGAGGCAGCAGUGAGGAAUAUUGGACAAUGGAUGGAAAUCUGAUCCAGCCAUGCCGCGUGCAGGAAGACGGCCCUAUGGGUUGUAAACUGCUUUUGUGUGGGAGCAAUAAGGUCUAUGCGUAGACUGAUGAGAGUACCAUACGAAUAAGCAUCGGCUAACUCCGUGCCAGCAGCCGCGGUAAUACGGGGGAUGCAAGCGUUAUCCGGAUUUAUUGGGUUUAAAGGGUGCGUAGGCGGUUUGAUAAGUCAGCGGUGAAAUAUUUCAGCUUAACUGGAAGGGUGCCGUUGAUACUGUCAGGCUUGAAUAUGGUUGCUGUGGGUGGAAUGUGUGGUGUAGCGGUGAAAUGCUUAGAUAUCACACAGAAUAUCGAUUGCGAAGGCAGCUCACAAAGCCAUUAUUGACGCUGAUGCACGAAAGUGUGGGGAUCAAACAGGAUUAGAUACCCUGGUAGUCCACGCCGUAAACGAUGAUCACUCGAUGUUGGCGAUACACAGUCAGCGUCUUAGGGAAACUAUUAAGUGAUCCACCUGGGGAGUACGGUCGCAAGAUUGAAACUCAAAGGAAUUGACGG